AACGAACGCUGGCGGCAUGCCUAACACAUGCAAGUCGAACGAGACCUUCGGGUCUAGUGGCGCACGGGUGCGUAACGCGUGGGAACCUGCCCUUAGGUUCGGAAUAACUCCCCGAAAGGGGUGCUAAUACCGGAUAAUGUUUUCGGACCAAAGAUUUAUCGCCUUUGGAUGGGCCCGCAUUGGAUUAGCUAGUUGGUAGGGUAAAAGCCUACCAAGGCGACGAUCCAUAGCUGGUCCGAGAGGAUGAUCAGCCACACUGGGACUGAGACACGGCCCAGACUCCUACGGGAGGGGGCAGUGGGGAAUAUUGGACAGUGGGCGAAAGCCUGAUCCAGCAAUGCCGCGUGAGUGAUGAAGGCCUUAGGGUUGUAAAGCUCUUUUACCCGGGAUGAUAAUGACAGUACCGGGAGAAUAAGCGCCGGCUAACUCCGUG
rnacentral:rRNA from 1 species